AGAGUUUGAUCAUGGCUCAGGACGAACGCUGGCGGCGUGGUUUAGGCAUGCAAGUCGAACGGUAUAUACACCUUCGGGUGUAUAGAGAGUGGCGAACGGGUGAGUAACACGUAGAUGAUCUACCCUCAAGAGGGGGAUAACCCAGGGAAACUUGGGCUAAUACCGCAUGAGUGUAGCACCUUAAUUGUCAAUGAGAGUUGGUAAUUAAGGUGCUACAUAAAAGGUGGCCUUCGGGCUGUCGUUUGGGGAUGAGUCUGCGUCCUAUUAGUUAGUUGGUGAGGUAAAGGCUCACCAAGGCGAUGAUAGGUAGGCGGCCUUAACGGGUGGUCGCCCACACUGGGAUUGAGAUACGGCCCAGACUCCUACGGGAGGCAGCAGUCGAGAAUAGUCUACAAUGGACGAAAGUCUGAUAGUGCGACGCCGCGUGAACGAAGACUCCCUAACAGGGUGUAAAGUUCUUUUAUAUGUGAGCAAUGGUUUGUACAUUAAUAGUGUGCGAGCAGAGAUAUUAGCAUAUGAAUAAGCAACGGCUAACUCCGUGCCAGCAGCCGCGGUAACACGGGGGUUGCAAGCGUUGUCCGGAAUUACUAGGCGUAAAGGGCAGGUAGGCGGAUCAGUAAGUUUGAUGUUAAAUCCAUCGGCUCACCCGAUGACAGGCAUCAGAUACUGCUGAUCUGGAAUACGGUUGAGGAAGACAGAAUUCCUGGUGUAGCGGUGGAAUGCGCAGAGAUCAGGAGGAAUACCGAAUGCGAAGGCAGUCUUCUGGGCCGUUAUUGACGCUAAACUGCGAAGGUGUGGGGAUCAAACAGGAUUAGAUACCCUGGUAGUCCACACAGUAAACGAUAAUCACUAGGUGUUGGGUUCGCAGCGAACUCGGUGCCGUAGCUAACGCGUUAAGUGAUUCGCCUGGGGAGUACGAUCGCAAGGUUGA
rnacentral:rRNA from 1 species